rnacentral:rRNA from 1 species
CAGCCGCCGCGGUAAUACGAAGGGUGCAAGCGUUAAUCGGAAUUACUGGGCGUAAAGCGUGCGUAGGCGGUUUGUUAAGUCUGCUGUGAAAUCCCCAGGCUCAACCUGGGAAUGGCAGUGGAUACUGGCAAGCUAGAGUGUGUCAGAGGAUGGUGGAAUUCCCGGUGUAGCGGUGAAAUGCGUAGAGAUCGGGAGGAACAUCAGUGGCGAAGGCGGCCAUCUGGGACAACACUGACGCUGAGGCACGAAAGCGUGGGGAGCAAACAGGAUUAGAUACCCGCGUAGUCCCUGUCUCUUAUAC